rnacentral:miRNA from 1 species
CAGUUUGUGAGUUUCUAGGCAU